rnacentral:rRNA from 2 species
UGCUCGAGUGGCGAACGGGUGAGUAACACGUGAGUAACCUGCCCUUGACUUUGGGAUAACUUCAGGAAACUGGGGCUAAUACCGGAUAGGAGCUCCUGCUGCAUGGUGGGGGUUGGAAAGUUUCGGCGGUUGGGGAUGGACUCGCGGCUUAUCAGCUUGUUGGUGGGGUAGUGGCUUACCAAGGCUUUGACGGGUAGCCGGCCUGAGAGGGCGACCGGCCACAUUGGGACUGAGAUACGGCCCAG